rnacentral:rRNA from 1 species
UACGGAGGGUGCCAGCCUUCCCCGGAUUUACUGGGGGUAAAGGGCGUGUGGGCGGUCUCUCAAGUCCGAUGCUAAAGACCGCAGCUCAACUUCGGGGGUGCGUUGGAUACUGUGAGUCUAGACGGUCGGAGGGGGUAGCGCAAUUUCCGGAGUAGCGGUGAAAUGCGCAGAUACCGGAAGGAACGCCGAUAGCGAAGGCAGCUACCUGGACGACUGGUGACGCUGAGACGCGAAAGCGUGGGGAGCAAACCGG